rnacentral:snoRNA from 1 species
GUUGGAUCGAUAAUGUUUUACAAAAUACUGCGUUAUCUAUCUGCAAUUUCUUUCAAGGAAUUGAAGAAGAAUAUAUGUUACUGAGAUCUGAU